rnacentral:rRNA from 1 species
GACGAACGCUGGCGGCGUGCUUAACACAUGCAAGUCGAGCGAUGAAGUUUCCUUCGGGAAAUGGAUUAGCGGCGGACGGGUGAGUAACACGUGGGUAACCUGCCUCAUAGAGGGAAUAGCCUUUCGAAAGGAAGAUUAAUACCGCAUAAGAUUGUAAUGUCGCAUGACAUAGCAAUUAAAGGAGCAAUCCGCUAUGAGAUGGACCCGCGUCGCAUUAGCUAGUUGGUGAGGUAACGGCUCACCAAGGCGACGAUGCGUAGCCGACCUGAGAGGGUGAGCGGCCACAUUGGGACUGAGACACGGCCCAGACUCCUACGGGAGGCAGCAGUGGGGAAUAUUGCACAAUGGGGGAAACCCUGAUGCAGCAACGCCGCGUGAGUGAUGACGGUCUUCGGAUUGUAAAGCUCUGUCUUUAGGGACGAUAAUGACGGUACCUAAGGAGGAAGCCACGGCUAACUACGUGCCAGCAGCCGCCGUAACAC